rnacentral:lncRNA from 10 species
GAUGUGCAGGGCUACAUGGCUCUAGAACUAGUCCUUGCUGGAAAGGCCUGGGAUAAAGCAUCGUAAGUCUUCCCACUGGCAGUUUGAUCUUCGGUCCCAUGGAGGCUACAAAAGUAAGAAUCCUAAGAUUCUGGUCAGUGGUUAUCAGCCUCCAAAAUGCAUAAGAAUAGCUUGUUCGAAUGAGAAUACAUGGACACAGGGAGGGGAACAUCGCAUACCGGUGG